rnacentral:lncRNA from 1 species
CACCUCCAGAGAAAGUAACAGCUCUCAAUUGAUUAGCUGAGGAAGACACCAGACAAAUGAGUUACACUGUUUUGGACUCCCCAACACAAUCCAGCCACCGGCUGAAUGCCACCAAAUUACCUUCUAGUUAAAGGUUUAUGGAGCAAACGAAUCACCUAUUCAAUAUCUGCUUGAAUUUCUGACUCAAAAUACAUCAGAAGCCUCAGGGGCUGGAUCCUGACAUGAACCAGACACCUCCAGAAUUCUAUCCCAAGCAAAAGAUUAUUUCAAGGCCAGAACUCACUCCCUGCUGGAGACUGACUACAAGAUCCACUGAGAUUGAUUUGUAACCUGAUUGGGCCCACAGUGAUGCUAGCCCCUUCACCAGAUGGAACAAUAAUUCCAGACAAGCCAUCAGAGCAGAGAGCAGAGGAGAGGAGAAGCAGCUGGAUGUCAGAGACUGCAGUUUGACGUUGGAGAAAAGCAGCUUGACUUCAGAGGGACAGCUUGACAGCAUGGAUUCAGAGAGGAGAAGAUCACCUUCCUGCUCCGCCCCCUUUCCAGCUCCCUUUCCCACUGAGAGCCACUUACACAGGCAAUAAAAUCCUCUGCAUUCACCACC